rnacentral:rRNA from 1 species
GACGAACGCUGGCGGCGUGCUUAACACAUGCAAGUCGAACGAAGUGGCGAACGGGUGAGUAAUACGUGGGUAACCUGCCCUCCUUUUUGGGAUAAGCCUUGGAAACGGGGUCUAAUACCGAAUAAAGGGGGAUGGGCUCGCGGCCUAUCAGCUUGUUGGUGGGGGGUUGGCCUACCAAGGCGGUGACGGGUAGCCGGUCGGAGAGGAUGAACGGUCACAUUGGGAAGGAGACACGGCCCAGACUCCUCCGGGAGGCAGCAGUGGGGAAUCUUCCGAAAUGGACGAAAGUCUGACGGAGCAACGCCGCGUGAGUGAUGACGGCCUUCGGGUUGUAAAGCUCUGUUAAUCGGGACACGUUACUCGCAGAAGAAGCACCGGCUAACUCCGUGCCAGCCGCCGCGGUAAUAC